rnacentral:rRNA from 1 species
UUAAGCCAUGCAUGUCUAAGUAUAAGCAAUUAUACCGCGAAACUGCGAAUGGCUCAUUAUAUAAGUUAUCGUUUAUUUGAUAAUACCUUACUACUUGGAUAACCGUGGUAAUUCUAGAGCUAAUACAUGCUAAAAAUCCCGACUUCGGAAGGGUUGUAUUUAUUAGAUUAAAAACCAAUGCCCUCUGGGCUCUCUGGUGAAUCAUGAUAACUAGUCGAAUCGACAGGCCUUGUGCCGGCGAUGGCUCAUUCAAAUUUCUUCCCUAUCAACUUUCGAUGUUUGGGUAUUGGCCAAACAUGGUGGCAACGGGUAACGGAGGGUUAGGGCUCGACCCCGGAGAAGGAGCCUGAGAAACGGCUACUACAUCCAAGGAAGGCAGCAGGCGCGCAAAUUACCCAAUCCCGACACGGGGAGGUAGUGACAAUAAAUACUGAUACAGGGCUCUUUCGGGUCUUGUAAUCGGAAUGAGUACAAUUUAAAUCCCUUAACGAGGAACAAUUGGAGGGCAAGUCUGGUGCCAGCAGCCGCGGUAAUUCCAGCUCCAAUAGCGUAUAUUAAAGUUGUUGUGGUUAAAAAGCUCGUAGUUGAACCUUGGGCCUGGCUGGCCGGUCCGCCUCACCGCGUGUACUGGUCCGGCCGGGCCUUUCCCUCUGUGGAACCCCAUGCCCUUCACUGGGUGUGGCGGGGAAACAGGACUUUUACUUUGAAAAAAUUAGAGUGCUCAAGGCAGGCCUAUGCUCGAAUACAUUAGCAUGGAAUAAUAAAAUAGGACGUGUGGUUCUAUUUUGUUGGUUUCUAGGACCGCCGUAAUGAUUAAUAGGGACAGUCGGGGGCAUCAGUAUUCAAUUGUCAGAGGUGAAAUUCUUGGAUUUAUUGAAGACUAACUACUGCGAAAGCAUUUGCCAAGGAUGUUUUCAUUAAUCAGGAACGAAAGUUAGGGGAUCGAAGACGAUCAGAUACCGUCGUAGUCUUAACCAUAAACUAUGCCGACUAGGGAUCGGACGAUGUUACAUUUUUUGACGCGUUCGGCACCUUACGAGAAAUCAAAGUGCUUGGGCUCCAGGGGGAG